rnacentral:rRNA from 1 species
GNUGANCGCUGGCGGCGUGCCUAAUACAUGCAAGUCGAACGCUUUGUGGUUCAACUGAUUUGAAGAGCUUGCUCAGAUAUGACGAUGGACAUUGCAAAGAGUGGCGAACGGGUGAGUAACACGUGGGAAACCUACCUCUUAGCAGGGGAUAACAUUUGGAAACAGAUGCUAAUACCGUAUAACAAUAGCAACCGCAUGGUUGCUACUUAAAAGAUGGUUCUGCUAUCACUAAGAGAUGGUCCCGCGGUGCAUUAGUUAGUUGGUGAGGUAAUGGCUCACCAAGACGAUGAUGCAUAGCCGAGUUGAGAGACUGAUCGGCCACAAUGGGACUGAGACACGGCCCAUACUCCUACGGGAGGCAGCAGUAGGGAAUCUUCCACAAUGGGCGAAAGCCUGAUGGAGCAACGCCGCGUGUGUGAUGAAGGGUUUCGGCUCGUAAAACACUGUUGUAAGAGAAGAAUGACAUUGAGAGUAACUGUUCAAUGUGUGACGGUAUCUUACCAGAAAGGAACGGCUAAAUACGUGCCAGCAGCCGCGGUAAUACGUAUGUUCCAAGCGUUAUCCGGAUUUAUUGGGCGUAAAGCGAGCGCAGACGGUUAUUUAAGUCUGAAGUGAAAGCCCUCAGCUCAACUGAGGAAUUGCUUUGGAAACUGGAUGACUUGAGUGCAGUAGAGGAAAGUGGAACUCCAUGUGUAGCGGUGAAAUGCGUAGAUAUAUGGAAGAACACCAGUGGCGAAGGCGGCUUUCUGGACUGUAACUGACGUUGAGGCUCGAAAGUGUGGGUAGCAAACAGGAUUAGAUACCCUGGUAGUCCACACCGUAAACGAUGAGUGCUAGGUGUUUUGAGGGUUUCCGCCCUUAANUGCCGCAGCUAACGCAUUAAGCACUNCGCCUGGGGGAGUACGACCGCANGGUUGAAACUCAAAGGAAUUGACGGGG